CCUACGGGAGGCAGCAGUGGGGAAUCUUGCGCAAUGGGCGAAAGCCUGACGCAGCCACGCCGCGUGAAUGAUGAAGGUCUUAGGAUUGUAAAAUUCUUUCACCGGGGACGAUAAUGACGGUACCCGGAGAAGAAGCCCCGGCUAACUUCGUGCCAGCAGCCGCGGUAAUACGAAGGGGGCUAGCGUUGCUCGGAAUUACUGGGCGUAAAGGGAGCGUAGGCGGAUAGUUUAGUCAGAGGUGAAAGCCCAGGGCUCAACCUUGGAAUUGCCUUUGAUACUGGCUAUCUUGAGUAUGGGAGAGGUUAGCGGAACUCCGAGUGUAGAGGUGAAAUUCGUAGAUAUUCGGAAGAACACCAGUGGCGAAGGCGGCUAACUGGCCCAUUACUGACGCUGAGGCUCGAAAGCGUGGGGAGCAAACAGGAUUAGAUACCCUGGUAGUCCACGCCGUAAACGAUGAGUGCUAGUUGUCGGCAUGCAUGCAUGUCGGUGACGCAGCUUAACGCAUUAAGCAUCCGCCUGGGGAGUACGGUCGCAAGNUUAAAAACUCAAAAGGAAUUGACGGCNGAGAGNGCGAGACGACGACGAGGGAGAGG
rnacentral:rRNA from 1 species